rnacentral:rRNA from 1 species
UACGCGGAAGGCAGCAGUGGGGAAUAUUGCACAAUGGGCGAAAGCCUGAUGCAGCUAUGCCGCGUGUAUGAAGAAGGCCUUAGGGUUGUAAAGUACUUUCAUCGGGGAGGAAAAAACAAAACUAAUAAUUUUAUUUCUUGACGUUACCCGAAAAAGAAGCACCGGCUAACUCCGUGCCAGCAGCCGCGGUAAUACGGAGGGUGCUAGCGUUAAUCAGAAUUACUGGGCGUAAAGAGCACGUAGGUGGUUUUUUUAAGUCAGAUGUGAAAUCCCUGGGCUUAACCUGGAACUGCAUUUUGAAACUGAAAUACUAGAGUAUCGUAGAGGGAGGUAGAAUUCUAGGUGUAGCGGUGAAAUGCGUAGAUAUCUGGAGGAAUACCUGUGGCGAAAGCGGGCCUCCUAAACGAAUACUGACACUGAGGUGCGAAAGCGUGGGGAGCAAACAGGGAUUAGAUACC